CGGCAACAGCUCAAAUUUGAAAUCUGGCUCUUUCAGGGUCCGAGUUGUAAUUUGCAGAGGACGCUUCAGGCGCGACGCCUUCCAAGUUCCCUGGAACGGGACGCCACAGAGGGUGAGAGCCCCGUACGGUUGGACGUCAAGCCUGUGUGAAGCUCCUUCGAC
rnacentral:rRNA from 1 species